GAUGAACGCUGGCGGCGUGCCUAAUACAUGCAAGUCGAGCGAACGGACGAGAAGCUUGCUUCUCUGAUGUUAGCGGCGGACGGGUGAGUAACACGUGGAUAACCUACCUAUAAGACUGGGAUAACUUCGGGAAACCGGAGCUAAUACCGGAUAAUAUUUUGAACCGCAUGGUUCAAAAGUGAAAGACGGUCUUGCUGUCACUUAUAGAUGGAUCCGCGCUGCAUUAGCUAGUUGGUAAGGUAACGGCUUACCAAGGCAACGAUGCAUAGCCGACCUGAGAGGGUGAUCGGCCACACUGGAACUGAGACACGGUCCAGACUCCUACGGGAGGCAGCAGUAGGGAAUCUUCCGCAAUGGGCGAAAGCCUGACGGAGCAACGCCGCGUGAGUGAUGAAGGUCUUCGGAUCGUAAAACUCUGUUAUUAGGGAAGAACAUAUGUGUAAGUAACUGUGCACAUCUUGACGGUACCUAAUCAGAAAGCCACGGCUAACUACGUGCCAGCAGCCGCGGUAAUACGUAGGUGGCAAGCGUUAUCCGGAAUUAUUGGGCGUAAAGCGCGCGUAGCGGUUUUUUAAGUCUGAUGUGAAAGCCCACGGCUCCACCGUGGAGGGUCAUUGGAAACUGGAAAACUUGAGUGCAGAAGAGGAAAGUGGAAUUCCAUGUGUAGCGGUGAAAUGCGCAGAGAUAUGGAGGAACACCAGUGGCGAAGGCGACUUUCUGGUCUGUAACUGACGCUGAUGUGCGAAAGCGUGGGGAUCAAACAGGAUUAGAUACCCUGGUAGUCCACGCCGUAAACGAUGAGUGCUAAGUGUUAGGGGGUUUCCGCCCCUUAGUGCUGCAGCUAACGCAUUAAGCACUCCGCCUGGGGAGUACGACCGCAAGGUUGAAACUCAAAGGAAUUGACGGGGACCCGCACAAGCGGUGGAGCAUGUGGUUUAAUUCGAAGCAACGCGAAGAACCUUACCAAAUCUUGACAUCCUUUGACAACUCUAGAGAUAGAGCCUUCCCCUUCGGGGGACAAAGUGACAGGUGGUGCAUGGUUGUCGUCAGCUCGUGUCGUGAGAUGUUGGGUUAAGUCCCGCAACGAGCGCAACCCUUAAGCUUAGUUGCCAUCAUUAAGUUGGGCACUCUAAGUUGACUGCCGGUGACAAACCGGAGGAAGGUGGGGAUGACGUCAAAUCAUCAUGCCCCUUAUGAUUUGGGCUACACACGUGCUACAAUGGACAAUACAAAGGGCAGCGAAACCGCGAGGUCAAGCAAAUCCCAUAAAGUUGUUCUCAGUUCGGAUUGUAGUCUGCAACUCGACUACAUGAAGCUGGAAUCGCUAGUAAUCGUAGAUCAGCAUGCUACGGUGAAUACGUUCCCGGGUCU
rnacentral:rRNA from 1 species